AAGUGUCGCGAAUGCGUAACGACGCUUAUCUUAUUGAUGUUGGACCCACAUGGAUUUGGGGUAAAUCAGGAAUGGAAUUGGAAAGCUGCAAGCGCGACAAAAUAUUACGCCGAGUUAAACGCACAAACACGCACUAAACUAGUUCCUGACAACAGGGAGAACACAUCCGAAAUAUGAGGCCCAGAUGCAAUCCAAGAAAUCAAUACAAGCUUGUUCCAAAGAUAGCUUAGGAGUUCUUUCAAGGGUUGCAAAGUCAACAUGGUGAAGUCCAAAUCUUAUUGUAUAUCCAGAUGUCCACUCAAAAUUGUCAAGCAAAGACCAGGCAAAGUACCCUCUCACAUUGGCUCCAUUCCUGAUCAUGUGACCAAUUUUACGAAUGCAUCAGAAAAGCAGUUUGUUUAUCAUUUGCUAAGCACCUUAAAAACUCUUCUUUAGGUCCGUAAGGACACACAGGGAUGAAAGAAACUACAAACAUAGAGAUAGUGGGAACGUGUCAAGAAUAACGAAGACAUAUACCGUAUUGCUAGAGCCAAUGAAGCCAAGUAGCUAUUCAUGUACUCCACCCUUCUGUAAUCUUUAAUGAAAUCUUUGACAGAUGAAUUCAGUUUGUUCAGCUCUCCAUAACCUGGACAAGUUUGUUUAGACUACA